UCCUAAGCCUGUUACMUGAUCUUGAACAUCUUUCCAAGUACUUCAGUGAAUCACUGCCAUUAGCAACAUGGGCAGAAAUUUACUAUAUCAGCUUCCCAGACACUGAACACAGUGUUGGCAGAGCUGGUAGAUAUUAACUCAGUGAGUCAGAUAGGGUGUUCUUUUUUUAUCUUCCAGGCACACAGGAGCAGCCCCAGCCGUGUUGCCCCUGCAGCUGCUGCCGAAAGUUGGCUGGCCAGUGUGAUAAGACUGGGAUUGCUGACUGGGAUUAGUACUGCAAGGCUUGAAUGCCUUGUAAAAGAUGUGAAGAUGCAGCUGAAGAAGAGUUUUGAAAAGCUGUAUCUCCGACACUGAGGACAAGAAAAGCAAUUGGAUCCUCAUAUACUUUGUUGGUUUAAUGACCAAAAUAACUUGAGUUUUUGCAAAAGGAAAGCUAGUCCUCUGUCUGAGAGAAAGAAGACAAGGUAGUCAAAUUACUCUGUCAUUGCUUUUUUAUUUACUAGUUACCUCCCCUGCUCCCCCCUUGUCUUCUGUUCACUGGAAAAUAUAAAAGUAGCAAAAAAGUAGGUACAAAUAUAAUACAGACCGUAACAGUGUUACCUUUGUCAUUCUGCAUGAAUGGUGAAAUAAUUCAGCAGAACAAGGUGAAAUAAUUCACAGGAAAUACUGCUGCUGGAGAAAGCCUCCAGUGUUCAUAUCAGGAAAUACCCAGAAAUGCUGGAAYGCACAAGCUCUCAAAACUGUGCACCUUUGAGGUGAAGCAGGAAAACAAGAAGUGACAACAUUUCACAUCAUGGUCACUUGUACUUAUUUCUCUAAAGGGGGCCAAAGAUGCUUUGAUUCUGCUUUACACAUCCUUGUGGAGUUGUCAUGAUCUCCUUGUUCUCCCCUAGGGUUUGAUACAAAUGGCAAACUUGAGAAGUCUGAAGACGGUGAGAACAGUGGGUUUUAAAAAGUGAUUUGAGGAAGGGAGAGUGAUUAACUUGAAGUGGGAAAAGACUAAAGCUGUGACUUAUGAUGCAAGAGGGGUGGAGUUUUAAAUGGCCUUGGAGAAAAGGGUAAGAGCUCUUAUCCUCCUGCAGGAAAAGAAGGAAAUCCAAUAGACAGAUAACAAAAUAUGGCAGAAUUUUUGUCAAUGAUUUUGCUUUUUGUGAACCAGAAUGCUUCAGUACUAGAAAGCAAUGGAARCAGAGAUUAUGAGAAGUUACAGCUAUGUAGGACACAGCUGCGAACAGCUUCUAGAGCAGCUUUUAUUUGCUUCUUUUCUUCAGCAGAAGACCACCAUACACUCAGAAAGAGAGWCUAAAAUUGGGUCUCAGCCAUCAGCCAGCCAGUCAGACACAGCUCUCCUGGGCAGAAUGGGGACAAUGCACAGCCUGGAUGCACAGCCUGGAAGAAUAGGCUGCUCUUGAGAUUGGAGGGCGUGAUCCUGGAAAAUCAGUAAGAAGCACAAGCGUGGUUGAAGAAAAACAGUGAGAAGCAGCAUGGAACAGAAAGAAGACACAGAGCAACAGCUGCUAUGAGCACMAUCCAACUUCCAGGACCACCCACUGCUUCACUGCACAAAGUGGGGUGGACUGAGUGUGUCCUACAGCAAGUAUAAGGGAAAUUGAGACUAGGAAUUAAGAAGGAUGGGUGUUUGACUUAAGGUGAGCCUGAGGAAGGAGAGGAAGAGAUGUUUACUUAAGUGUUUAAUUGUUUAUAUUAUCUCUUUUUUUUUCCUGAUACAUGGAUCAGUGAUCAAAAAUUUCCUUUUAUUGGUAAUUAAUUAAAUUAAGUAAAAAUUGCCCAGKUUUUGCCUUUGAUGCUGGCAAGUGGAUUAGCCAAGCCUUCAUUUCAAGACAUCAUGGAUACCUUUUAGCCUAUUGAGCAUAAAGUGGAGAUGCAUUAAAAUCUUUGGAAACUACAGGUGAACUCAGAUUAAGACUCGGCUGUAUCUGAGUACUCUGAAAAGGGCUCUUCUCUGUUUUAGGGGAAAGCCAGCUGAUCUUUCCCCUAGUAUAUAUGAACCUAGAGGAAGCUUUGACUGYAUCAAUACUAUAAUGACCUAAAGCUGAUUAACACAACCAGCUGAUAUGCUGAUUUGAGUUUAUUCCCGCAUUUCUGUAGCUGCUCAGCUUCCAAACUACAUCUGGUUUAUAUUUGUUACGGAGCCAYGGAGCAGACACACAAAAGACUGCACCCAUCCCUAGCUAUUUCAUAUUCCUUUGUAUGUUUAAAAAAAUACAAAUUCUGAAAUUGAAUAAAAAAAUGUC